GGUUAAGCGACUAAGCGUACACGGUGGAUGCCCUGGCAGUCAGAGGCGAUGAAGGACGUGCUAAUCUGCGAUAAGCGUCGGUAAGGUGAUAUGAACCGUUAUAACCGGCGAUUUCCGAAUGGGGAAACCCAGUGUGAUUCGUCACACUAUCAUUAACUGAAUCCAUAGGUUAAUGAGGCGAACCGGGGGAACUGAAACAUCUAAGUACCCCGAGGAAAAGAAAUCAACCGAGAUUCCCCCAGUAGCGGCGAGCGAACGGGGAGCAGCCCAGAGCCUGAAUCAGUGUGUGUGUUAGUGGAAGCGUCUGGAAAGGCGCGCGAUACAGGGUGACAGCCCCGUACACAAAAAUGCACAUGCUGUGAGCUCGAUGAGUAGGGCGGGACACGUGGUAUCCUGUCUGAAUAUGGGGGGACCAUCCUCCAAGGCUAAAUACUCCUGACUGACCGAUAGUGAACCAGUACCGUGAGGGAAAGGCGAAAAGAACCCCGGCGAGGGGAGUGAAAAAGAACCUGAAACCGUGUACGUACAAGCAGUGGGAGCACGCUUAGGCGUGUGACUGCGUACCUUUUGUAUAAUGGGUCAGCGACUUAUAUUCUGUAGCAAGGUUAACCGAAUAGGGGAGCCGAAGGGAAACCGAGUCUUAACUGGGCGUUAAGUUGCAGGGUAUAGACCCGAAACCCGGUGAUCUAGCCAUGGGCAGGUUGAAGGUUGGGUAACACUAACUGGAGGACCGAACCGACUAAUGUUGAAAAAUUAGCGGAUGACUUGUGGCUGGGGGUGAAAGGCCAAUCAAACCGGGAGAUAGCUGGUUCUCCCCGAAAGCUAUUUAGGUAGCGCCUCGUGAAUUCAUCUCCGGGGGUAGAGCACUGUUUCGGCAAGGGGGUCAUCCCGACUUACCAACCCGAUGCAAACUGCGAAUACCGGAGAAUGUUAUCACGGGAGACACACGGCGGGUGCUAACGUCCGUCGUGAAGAGGGAAACAACCCAGACCGCCAGCUAAGGUCCCAAAGUCAUGGUUAAGUGGGAAACGAUGUGGGAAGGCCCAGACAGCCAGGAUGUUGGCUUAGAAGCAGCCAUCAUUUAAAGAAAGCGUAAUAGCUCACUGGUCGAGUCGGCCUGCGCGGAAGAUGUAACGGGGCUAAACCAUGCACCGAAGCUGCGGCAGCGACGCUGAUGCGUUGUUGGGUAGGGGAGCGUUCUGUAAGCCUGUGAAGGUGUGCUGUGAGGCAUGCUGGAGGUAUCAGAAGUGCGAAUGCUGACAUAAGUAACGAUAAAGCGGGUGAAAAGCCCGCUCGCCGGAAGACCAAGGGUUCCUGUCCAACGUUAAUCGGGGCAGGGUGAGUCGACCCCUAAGGCGAGGCCGAAAGGCGUAGUCGAUGGGAAACAGGUUAAUAUUCCUGUACUUGGUGUUACUGCGAAGGGGGGACGGAGAAGGCUAUGUUGGCCGGGCGACGGUUGUCCCGGUUUAAGCGUGUAGGCUGGUUUUCCAGGCAAAUCCGGAAAAUCAAGGCUGAGGCGUGAUGACGAGGCACUACGGUGCUGAAGCAACAAAUGCCCUGCUUCCAGGAAAAGCCUCUAAGCAUCAGGUAACAUCAAAUCGUACCCCAAACCGACACAGGUGGUCAGGUAGAGAAUACCAAGGCGCUUGAGAGAACUCGGGUGAAGGAACUAGGCAAAAUGGUGCCGUAACUUCGGGAGAAGGCACGCUGAUAUGUAGGUGAAGUCCCUCGCGGAUGGAGCUGAAAUCAGUCGAAGAUACCAGCUGGCUGCAACUGUUUAUUAAAAACACAGCACUGUGCAAACACGAAAGUGGACGUAUACGGUGUGACGCCUGCCCGGUGCCGGAAGGUUAAUUGAUGGGGUUAGCGCAAGCGAAGCUCUUGAUCGAAGCCCCGGUAAACGGCGGCCGUAACUAUAACGGUCCUAAGGUAGCGAAAUUCCUUGUCGGGUAAGUUCCGACCUGCACGAAUGGCGUAAUGAUGGCCAGGCUGUCUCCACCCGAGACUCAGUGAAAUUGAACUCGCUGUGAAGAUGCAGUGUACCCGCGGCAAGACGGAAAGACCCCGUGAACCUUUACUAUAGCUUGACACUGAACAUUGAGCCUUGAUGUGUAGGAUAGGUGGGAGGCUUUGAAGUGUGGACGCCAGUCUGCAUGGAGCCGGCCUUGAAAUACCACCCUUUAAUGUUUGAUGUUCUAACGUUGACCCGUAAUCCGGGUUGCGGACAGUGUCUGGUGGGUAGUUUGACUGGGGCGGUCUCCUCCUAAAGAGUAACGGAGGAGCACGAAGGUUGGCUAAUCCUGGUCGGACAUCAGGAGGUUAGUGCAAUGGCAUAAGCCAGCUUGACUGCGAGCGUGACGGCGCGAGCAGGUGCGAAAGCAGGUCAUAGUGAUCCGGUGGUUCUGAAUGGAAGGGCCAUCGCUCAACGGAUAAAAGGUACUCCGGGGAUAACAGGCUGAUACCGCCCAAGAGUUCAUAUCGACGGCGGUGUUUGGCACCUCGAUGUCGGCUCAUCACAUCCUGGGGCUGAAGUAGGUCCCAAGGGUAUGGCUGUUCGCCAUUUAAAGUGGUACGCGAGCUGGGUUUAGAACGUCGUGAGACAGUUCGGUCCCUAUCUGCCGUGGGCGCUGGAGAACUGAGGGGGGCUGCUCCUAGUACGAGAGGACCGGAGUGGACGCAUCACUGGUGUUCGGGUUGUCAUGCCAAUGGCACUGCCCGGUAGCUAAAUGCGGAAGAGAUAAGUGCUGAAAGCAUCUAAGCACGAAACUUGCCCCGAGAUGAGUUCUCCCUGACCCUUUAAGGGUCCUGAAGGAACGUUGAAGACGACGACGUUGAUAGGCCGGGUGUGUAAGCGCAGCGAUGCGUUGAGCUAACCGGUACUAAUGAACCGUGAGGCUUAACCUU
rnacentral:rRNA from 1 species